rnacentral:rRNA from 1 species
UAAUACGUAGGGGGCAAGCGUUGUCCGGAAUCAUUGGGCGUAAAGAGCGUGUAGGCGGCCUGAUAAGUCGGUUGUGAAAGUCAAGGGCUCAACCCUUGAAUGCCGACCGAUACUGUCAGGCUAGAGUCCGGAAGAGGCGAGUGGAAUUCCUGGUGUAGCGGUGAAAUGCGCAGAUAUCAGGAGGAACACCAAUGGCGAAGGCAGCUCGCUGGGACGGUACUGACGCUGAGACGCGAAAGCGUGGGGAGCGAACAGGAUUAGAUACCCUGGUAGUCCACGCCGUAAACGAUGGGCGCUAGGUGUGGGGGGUGUCGACUCCCUCCGUGCCGAAGCUAACGCAUUAAGCGCCCCGCCUGGGGAGUACGGCCGCAAGGCUA